rnacentral:rRNA from 1 species
UACAGAGGGUGCAAGCGUUAAUCGGAAUUACUGGGCGUAAAGCGUGCGCAGACGGUUGCGUAAGUCAGAUGUGAAAGCCCCGGGCUCAACCUGGGAAUUGCAUUUGAGACUGCGUAGCUAGGGUGCGGAAGAGGGAAGCGGAAUUUCCGGUGUAGCGGUGAAAUACGUAGAUAUCGGAAGGAACACCAGUGGCGAAAGCGGCUUCCUGGUCCAGCACCGACGUUCAGGCACGAAAGCGUGGGGAGCAAACAGG